GGCUCGUUGGUCUAGGGGUAUGAUUCCUGCUUCGGGCGCGGGAGGUCCCGGGUUCAAAUCCCGGACGAGCCC
rnacentral:tRNA from 1 species